rnacentral:rRNA from 1 species
CGUCAGUGCAGGCCCAGGGGAUUGCCUUCGCCAUCGGUGUUCCUCCGCAUAUCUACGCAUUUCACUGCUACACGCGGAAUUCCAUCCCCCUCUGCCGCACUCUAGCCUUGCAGUCACAAUGGCAGUUCCCAGGUUGAGCCCGGGGAUUUCACCACUGUCUUACAAAACCGCCUGCGCACGCUUUACGCCCAGUAAUUCCGAUUAACGCUUGCACCCUACGUAUUACCGCGGCUGCUGGCACGUAGUUAGCCGGUGCUUAUUCUUACGGUACCGUCAUGACCCGGGGAUAUUAGCCCCAGGCUUUUCGUUCCGUACAAAAGCAGUUUACAACCCGAGGGCCUUCAUCCUGCACGCGGCAUUGCUGGAUCAGGCUUUCGCCCAUUGUCCAAAAUUCCCCACUGCUGCCUCCCGUAGGAGUCUGGGCCGUGUCUCAGUCCCAGUGUGGCUGGUCGUCCUCUCAGACCAGCUACAGAUCGCAGGCUUGGUAAGCCUUUACCCCACCAACUACCUAAUCUGCCAUCAGCCGCUCUAGUAGCACAAGGCCCGAAGGUCCCCUGCUUUCAUCCGUAGAUCUCAUGCGGUAUUAGCUACUCUUUCGAGUAGUUAUCCCCCACUACUAGGCACGUUCCGAUGUAUUACUCACCCGUUCGCCACUCGUCAGCAUCCGAAGACCUGUUACCGUUCGACUUGCAUGUGUAAAGCAUGCCGCCAGCGUUCAAU